CGGCAGUCACUUUGCGGCCACUAUGAGGACUGAGCUUCCUCUCCCCAGGACCCGCAUGGGAGAGACCGCGGCUUCGAGACACCUGGGGACACCUGGGGACACCUGGGGCGGCGUCCGCGGUGAGGACUGGGAGACGCUGCUGCAUCUCCGGGACACCACUUGGGGCCGAGGCCAAGGACCCACCCAGGAGGGGCCAUGGCUUCGAGACACCUGAGGACACCUGGGGCCACGUCCGCGAUGAGGACAUCUCUGGGACACCUGGGGCUGCAUCUCCGGGACACCUGGGGCUGACCCUGGUACGGGGAAAGGAGGAGGAACACAGAGACGCCCUCGUGAGGUCGGGGACCAGCAGGCACCACAGUCUAAGGCCAAUGAAACAGGCGCCCCUAGAUGAGUGCUCGGUGUUUGUUUUGUUUUGUUUUCUUUUGAGAAGGAGUUUCGCUCUUGCUCCCCAGGCUGGAGUGCGAUGUCGCGAUCUCGACUCACUGCAACCUCUGCCUCCCGGGUUCAAGCGAUUCUCCUGCCUCAGCCUCCCGAGUAGCUGGGAUUACAGUCAUGCGCCAUCACGCCCGGCUAAUUUUGUAGUUUUAGUAGAGACGGUGUUUCUCCAUGUUGAUCAGGCUGGUCUCGAACUCCUGAUCUCAGGUGAUCCACCCACCUCGGCCUCCCAAAGUGCUGGAAUUACAGGCGUGACCCACUGGGCCCGGCCAGUGCUUUGUGUUUUAAGGCUCUUUUGUUAACGCAGUGGAAACAACACAGGAAAUGGAAAAGCAGGCACAUUAUCAUUCUCAGGCCACUGCAUUUAGCCUGGGCGACAGAGCGAGACCUUGUCUCAAAAAACAAAAACAAAUGAAAACAAAAACAAACCAUUUUGUGUGUCUAAUGGAAGUGACCUCGUCAACAACAGUCUUUUGUUGAGAAAGUCUGUUUAAUUGGCAGUGUAUUUGUAAUGGUACAUAAAAUGACGUCUGCUUUAUAAGCAUUCUCAUUCCUAUAUUAGAUGAAAUGUAUUAACUAUAUCAAGCUUUGAUAUUAUACCAUAAAAUUACUUG
rnacentral:lncRNA from 1 species